UAGAAAGAAGGGUCAGAAUUCCUCUGAGUAUGAGAAAAUCCAGCCAUGAAUGGAACAUGGCCCAAAAUAAUAUUUGAUUUUUGUAAAACAAAUAUCUUCAAAUCUUAACACAUAUUAGAGUAACGUCACAUAUUCAGCAACAAAACGAGGUGUGCACAACCUCCCCAAAAUUUCGUAGGCUUCCAACCGUGGUCCUCUGACAAUGUCAAGGUCAUCGUGCCGAGCAACAAAAAUCCCCGUGGGCACUCACGGGCAGAACAGAACAUCUCUUCACCAGGCGAUCCAACGGAUCGAGGGCACCUGAAGUGAAGCCUCCUGAGAUAUCCCAGAUCGCCGUUGCAGCAGCAUGGUCUCUCUAGGAACCCGGGUGGAGAGACCAGGAGUCUCGCUCCCAAACAAAAACAGAACAGAAUCCCGGGCCCUUGUGCCGCCCAAUACCCUGUGGGCCCUCCAGUACAGCCAGAGGAGCGUGCGUCAACAGUGAGCUCAGACGCACCACUACCUCCCGGGACGAAACCGAUCACUGGGCAAAACAGAAAGCUCGCACUCCCAUAAACCAUUGCACAAAGUCCACGUUUCGCCUUCGAAUUUUCAAAAGUGAGGGUUUACCAAUGCUAGACAUCGUCUAGUACCUCUCACAGAAACCACCCGCCCUCAGGCUCGGUUUCUCAAACAUAAUAAUUCAGCUAUUUUAAAUCUUGAUUUAAUAGUAAUAAAGCAAAACUCAUCGCAUCUAGAAACCUCGAUUAGCAAUAUUAUAAUCCUUAUUUGAAACAAUAAAAUUUAUAUUUAAAUUCUCAAAACGUGACUUUCCUCCCCUAAUGGUUCCAAAGUUACUUUCAGAACCAUAUUUCUGAAAUUUUAAACACCACAAAGAGCAUCAAAAAGUAAUAACACAUAACUUUUCGUUCUUAAUUUAUAAAACCCCCUUUUUGUAAUUUUUAAGAAUUCAGAGGGUACCAAAACGUGAUUUCUUAUUAAAUGCAUGGUUUUUGCUGAAAAUCACUUUCCCAAGCCUCUUUUUGAAGAGGUUUUCAGCAAAAACGUUGCGGCAUGAACGCUUAAAUGUUAUAACAGCUUCUUCGAAAAUUUUGAUAAUAAGGUGGACCCACUUUGAAAUUUUUCAUCUUUGAUAUAAAAUCGGUCCACGCUCGUUUUUCUUCAUUUCACGCCUGCGUUUUCUCUCUCCUCACGAGCUGCUCCUCCGUCUUCUUCUCGCUCGACCAGCAGUGGGGAUUCCACCGUUCGUUCUCAACCCAAAACCGAAGAGAAACUCUUCUCCUGCUGCGAGAUUCCGGCGUUGGGUUUCCACGUCGCUGCGCCACCGGCCGUCUGACAGCUUCUGCCGCUGCCUCCUCCUGUCUUCAAGAGAACGAAAUCAAAGAGGGAAAGAGAGAGCAGGGCUCCCUGCGCUUGGGUCUACCGCGCCGCCGCCCACCGUCCGACCGAUGGUGGCACUUCCACGGUAUCCCCCGUCUCUUAAACCAGAGAAGGAUUUGUUUUCCUCUCUGGCCUUCCUCCGUGAACAGCAAGGAAAAAGGAAGGGACCACAGCUACCGCAGCCACUGCUUUCUCUGUUCUCAGGUUGCAGCGCCACACUCAUGAGGACGACGACCUUCGAGUUUUGUCCCCACACUCGUUUCGACAAGAAGGAACAGGCAGGGAAGGAGGGACGACGGGAGGGUUACUGUUUUCCCCCAAAUCGCCUCCGCUGCAAAUCUCCCUGUAUUCCUUUCUCCCAGAGUUCUCCAGCAAACAGGAAGAUUGAAGAAAAGGGCGGACGCUGCUGUCGGUGCCCGUGACAGAAACAGGGAAGUCUACGACUUCGAUUCUCACGGGAGAGGAUGACAGAACAGGGGUUUUUCAUCUAACCUGUGUGUUCGGAAAUAUGGCCGAACCUGAUGCAGUGGGGAUUCCACCGUUCGUUCUCAACCCAAAACCGAAGAGAAACUCUUCUCCUGCUGCGAGAUUCCGGCGUUGGGUUUCCACGUCGCUGCGCCACCGGCCGUCUGACAGCUUCUGCCGCUGCCUCCUCAUGUCUUCAAGAGAACGAAAUCAAAGAGGGAAAGAGAGAGCAGGGCUCCCUGCGCUUGGGUCUACCGCGCCGCCGCCCACCGUCCGACCGAUGGUGGCACUUCCACGGUAUCCCCCGUCUCUUAAACCAGAGAAGGAUUUGUUUUCCUCUCUGGCCUUCCUCCGUGAACAGCAAGGAAAAAGGAAGGGACCACAGCUACCGCAGCCGCUGGUUUCUCUGUUCUCAGGUUGCAGCGCCACACUCAUGAGGAUGACGACCUUCGAGUUUUGUCCCCACACUCGUUUCGACAAGAAGGAACAGGCAGGGAAGGAGGGACGACGGGAGGGUUACUGUUUUCCCCCAAAUCGCCUCCGCUGCAAAUCUCCCUGUAUUCCUUUCUCCCAGAGUUCUCCAGCAAACAGGAAGAUUGAAGAAAAGGGCGGAUGCUGCUGUCGGUGCCCGUGACAGAAACAGGGAAGUCUACGACUUCGAUUCUCACGGGAGAGGAUGACAGAACAGGGGUUUUUCAUCUAACCUGGGUGUUCGGAAAUAUGGCCGAACCUGAUGGUAUUUCUCUAAUCACCCCCUUUUUGUUUUCAUUAUUAUUGUAUAUGUAUGUACGUUUUUGCACACAUGUAGUUAUGUUUCAUGCUUGCAUAUGCGCAUGGAUGUAAAUCAAUAAUAGACAAAACUAAGAGCAUGCGACACUUCACAAAUCGAUUCUUAUUUUGGGAGUAAGAACACAUAGAUCUACCAUUAAGACAUGCGGAUAAGUGUAUCUAUUCCCCAAACAUCCAACAGAAAAUAGAAGGCUACAUUAUCCCUGAACAUCCCCAUACCUUUUUUAAUUCUGAAAUGACUUCAACAACCAACCACUUCAAUCUUCAACUAGAAAGGGGGCAAAGAUGAGGACGUCCCUCUCUCUCUCUCUUCCUUUCUUUCUUUCUCUUGUCGUUGGAGUCUCCGAUUGAGGGCUGCAGCAAUAAGAGAUUCCUUUCUUUCUUUCUCUUGUCGUUGGAGUCUCAGAUUGAGGGCUGCAGCAAUAAGAGAUGACAAAUUUUUCAAUCUCUCACAAGGAAAUCAAUCAUCCUCUACUUUGGCAGUUACAACUUCAUCCUUAUCUUUUCCAUAAUUAUCUCCUUUAUGAUAAACUUGACGUUUUUUGAAAAAUCAUUAAGAAUCAUUUGAUCUUUCUUUUGAUUCCUCCCCAAAUUAACGUUUAUUGAUUCCUUCCCAAAUUAACGUUUCAAAUAUUAAAGAAAACUUAAUAAAAUUCGUGGGUCUUACAACCUCGACCAACGGUGCUGCUCAACUCUCUGAUAAUCCGGCGAGCUCCGUUUCCCGUUGGGUACUAGGGCGUCCUCUCUCUGAAUGAGACUAAGACAGAGAGUGUGCAGAGAGAGGCGAAACGGUAAGACAGAGCGGGCGACGGUGAUUCCCUCCUUGUUGAAGAGGCAGAAUGACCGACGAGUAUCCCACCUCGUUGAAGAGGCGGUGAGAGAAGCUGGAGGCGCUGAGCCUGGAGCUCCCGCGGGCAUUGCUCGAGCGGACGGAGCUCGAGUGGCUUUCAAAUGCGGGCGUCGCUCGAGCGGAAGAAACCACGAGCGGAAGAGCGGGCGUCGCUCGAGCGGAAGGAACCACGCGGGCAGAUGAGCGGAAGAGCGGGCGUCGCUCGAGCGGAAGGAACCACCGACCACGCGGGCAGAGUGGGCGUCGCUCGAGCGGAAACACGCGGGCAGAGCUCGAGCGGGCGGAACAGCUCUUUCGCGCUCAUCUCUUCCUCCAGAAGGCCAUGAAAUCUCAGGACAGAGGACAGAGGGCACCAAAAGAUGUGGACAGAAAAAGGCAACCAGAAUCACAGCAAGUUCUGGUGGCAGAAGACAAGCGUGAGAAGAGAAAAGGAGGAGAAGAGAAAAGAAGGAGGAAGAUGAAAAGCAGGAAGAGAGGGUAUUUUGCAUGGAUGUACUAAAGAUCUUGGGAUUGGGAAAUCACAAUUGUUGAUUUACAACAAUAAAAGCAAAGAUUAUUAUUUCUUUCUUGUAAUUUAACUUGUUGAUUUUUCUUGCUGAUAUUCAGGAAAGAUUUUCUUGAUUCUA